rnacentral:rRNA from 1 species
AGGAUGAACGCUGGCGGUCUGCUUAACACAUGCAAGUCGAACGGAGUAGCAAUACUUAGUGGCGGACGGGUGAGUAACGCGUGAGAAUCUACCUUCAGGACGGAGACAACAGUUGGAAACGACUGCUAACCCCCGAUGUACCGAAAGGGCAAAUAUUUAUAGCCUGAAGAAGAGCUCGCGUCCGAUUAGCUAGUUGGAGAGGUAAAAGCUCACCAAGGCGACGAUCGGUAGCUGGUCUGAGAGGACGAUCAGCCACACUGGGACUGAGACACGGCCCAGACUCCUACGGGAGGCAGCAGUGGGGAAUUUUCCGCAAUGGGGGAAACCCUGACGCAGCGACGCCGCGUGCGGGAUGAAGGCCUUCGGGUUGUAAACCGCUUUCAGCAGGGACGAAAUUGACGGUACCUGCAGAAGAAGGCCCGGCCAACUACGUGCCAGCAGCCGC